AAGAAUACCCCUUUGUAUUUUUUUGGGGGGGUUACUGUUUAUUUUUGGUGCAGGAGUUUGAAUAUUUGCUGUCUCUUUCUUUGGUUUAAGCAGGCUGUUGUUCCCAGGACGAUCAGUGUGUUUUCAGGGAGAAGGAGGCAAUGGGUAGGGCCAGCAGUCAGUGCCUGGUUGUUGGGCUCUCAACAGCAGCAAGAACCUACAGGAAGGCGGCACAGGCUGCUCCUAGUUGCAUGGCCCUGGCAAGUGGUGAUAAGCUCUAGGCAGAUCUUCAAGGUGACCAGAGCAUUUGGCAGUAGCAGUAGCAGGGUGCAUGAGUUCCCAGGGAAGUGAGAGCAACAACAACUUGUGUUUGAUCACAAUGCCCAGCUCUGAGGUGAUUGGAACCACAGGUGGUGCCUGUUCAGGGACCCCUAUUGGGAGCAGGCCAUGACCGUUUCUGGAGUCGGUGAUAACUGGGGUGGGUUGCCCCCGCCACCUGUAGAGCAUGCAUGAAGCAACCCGUCUCACUUAGCCCAGAGAUGAGGUGUUGCGAAGGGUGCUCCUAGUUGCAGGAUCAUGGGAAGUGACAGAGAUCAGGCAUGUGGGUACUGCCCGGAAUGUUUGGCAGUGGUAGCAGCAGGGUGGGUGUGUUCCUGGGGGUGCGAGAGCACCAACACGUGGUGUUUGGUCACAAUGCCCUCCUCUGUGGUGCCGUUAGGUGAAUGGGUCUGCAAGUGAUUUUUGUUCAGAUAUCUCCAAUGGCAGUUGGCCACUCCCACCUCUGGAAUCAGGGAUAACUGCAGCGGUUUGCCCCUGCCAUGUGCAGACAACGCAAGAAGCACCCUGUCCCACUUAGCCCACGCAGGAGGUGCUGCACCAGUUGCUCCUAGUUGUAGGGUCUUGGGAAGGGACAGUGACCAAGUGUCGGGGUCACCCAGAGCAUUUGGCAGUGGCAACUGCAGAGCGGGUGUGUUCCCAGGGGAGUGAGAGCAACAGUGUAUGGUGCUUGGUUGCAAUGCCCUCUUUUUUUCUUUUUUGUCAACCCCUGAGGUGACUGGAGUCACUGGUGGAGUCCACUCACAGGCUCCCAGUGGUGGCAAGCCACGCCUCCCUCUGGCCUCUGAGAUGACCACCCCCGUCUGUCCAUGCCACCUGUGGAUUGUGCAAGAGGCAUCACGGCUCACGUAGCCCCCUCAUGCCCUUAGCCCACACAAUAAGUGCCUGGCCACUGGUAGCCUGCACAAGAAGCACCUAAUCUCCUCUAAACGAGCAAGAGGCUUCUUGCUGCCCCACGCUCUAAGCCCACGGGCACGUGCACACUCAAGCACAGGGAGUGUCCCAUGGCGACUGCCCUUCCUCCUCUCCCCUCCCCAGCAAUGGUGCCCUGCCUCUCCUGUGGGUCCAGACCUUCUCCCGGGUUCCCUCUGCUGUGCUGUUCCCCUCCUUAGCCCGUGGUGUACUGCUCUGUAGCCCCUUGUGCCAGCCCCAGUUCUCUCCUUGGGACUGACCUCCGGAGCCUGAGUCUCAGUGCCCAGCCCCCGCCCAAGCAUCUCAGGCUGUGGUGUCCAGGCCGGUGGUGCAGAUGGUCUGUGUGGCUCUCAGUCUGCUUUGCUGUUGUCAGUCCAGCUGCUGAGCUUUUCUCAGCGACUUUGAGGUCCCGCCGACUCAGCCAAUCUUUGUCAGUUAGGUGGCUUCCCAGGAGGUGGGUUCCUUUUCUCCUUCACGGCUCCCUCUUGGGAAUGCUAGUCCCAUCCUGAUUCCUUUACUUUGUCUCUUUUUCUUUUGUUCUACCCAGUUAUGUUAAGAGUUUCUUGCCCUUUUUGGAGGUUUAAGUUCUUCUGCCAGCGUUCGGUGGAUGUUCUGUGGGAGUUGUUUCACAUGUAGGUGUGUUUUUUUGAUGUGCUUGUGGGAGAAGGUGUGUGCGACCUCUUACUCCUCCACCAUCUUGCUCCGCCUCCUCAGUAAAUUCAAAAGGAUUAAAAUCAUACCAAGUGCAUUCUCUGACUGGAAAUUAAUUAAGCUGGAAACCAAUGACAAUAGGAUUUCUAGGGGAAAAAACCCCAAAUAUGUGGAAAUUAAACCAAAGUCCUCGUCAAGCUUGGAGGAGGCUGACAGGAGCCUAUCUUCCCUUUUAUUCACCCCCAUUUGGUUUGAAUUUUUCCACAGGUAUGGCAAGGAUUUGAGAAAUGUGUCAGCUAACAAUGCUUUAGGCUCUUGGGUACUGCCUGUUGCUACAUUUGCUAUUUUCCCCCGAAAUUUUCUAAGGACUAAUUGAUCAAACAGCUAUUUGUUAGGAUUCUCCAGAGAAGCAGAUCCACAUGAAACCAACUUGUACAUAGGAGGAGAUGUACCCUAGAAAUUGGCUCCUGUUGGUACGGAGGCUGAGAAGAACCACGGUUGGUGGCCUGCAGGCUGGAGAAGCAGUGUAGCUCAGUCCCGGUCAGUACGUGUGAGUCGGGGUCGGGGGGGCAGGGCAGUGGCGUCUGAGUCCAAGAGUCGGAGAACCAGGGCUGCCCAAGUCCAAGGUCAGGAAAGGAUGGCUGACUCAGCUUGAGCAGAGAACAAAUUCUCCUUCCUCCUGCUUUUCGUUGUGUUAGGCCCUCAGUGGACUGAACGACACCCUCCCACCCUGGUCAGGGAGGUCUUCUUUUAGAGCCAACCAGUUCGGAUGCUCAUCUCUUCCAGAGGCCCCCUCACCGACACACCCUUCAAUCAUGUCUUACCAGCUAUCUAGGCCUCCCUUAGUCUGGUCCAGGUAACACAUAAAAUUAACAAUUAGACAUGCUUCUCAUUAUGACCCACUUGUCGGAGUUUGACUCUUCCACUUCCUCUUGAAUGGUGGUGCAUUCCACCAAGCACUAAGCUUUGGACCGUCUUCCUCCUGAGUAGUGCCGGUCCUCGGGGGACCCCUCCCUGCUUUAGCAGAGUCUGGUCAUUAUUAUUUACCUCCUAAGUAGCUGGAGAAUUAGCACAGAGUCUAGUGAUGUCAAAAACAAGAGUCCUAGGUAUCCGAUUCUGAGCCCAAGGCAGACAUCACUAAUCAGUUAUGAUACUGUCUGACUGAUCCCUGCAAGACAAGGCACCAGGCAGCCUCUUGCUGAUCAGUGAGAGUUGACACCAGAGAUGAAGCUGAUUUGUCAUCUUAGUUUUAAGCUCCUGUCCUGUAUUCCUUUGCCUGGGGCAACCCUAAUGGAUUGUUCCUAUGUUCCAUGCAGAGGGGCAGGGGCCGAGAGUCAUGUCUUAGAAAUAUGCUACGAUUAUCAAAGUGCAUAAAAUUGGCUAUAUAAAAUAGUAAAACAAGACAUGACUCUUCCCUUUCCUGAAACGGUGUAAAAUUUGCAAUGUUUCUCACAUUGGGAGAAUUUUUAAAAGUUACCAUAGACAGUGUUAUGCAGAGUAUGCAGAGACCUAACACCCAGCUGCAAAGCACUUUUCCCUCAAAAACUGUUUUCUGCUCUUAUUCCUGUAUUUUAGAGAAAUCCUAGAAGCUUUUCCUUUUGUGUGUAAAAAGAAUCUCAAAGAUUUAAAAAUUCAGCUCUGUCCUAAAACUUAAGGAAAUACCUUUCUUGCACACCAGAGGCCCCUAUUUGAUUUAGAAAAACAAAUAGCUUAUCAGCUACUGGCUCUUGAAUGUCUUUUGUGUGCCAGGCACUCCCCUGAAUGAUUUGUCUGUAUCAGCUCAUUUGCUCCUCACAGCAGUCCUGAGAGCCUGGUGUUAGCAUCCCCAUUCUACUGAUGAUGAAGUAGCUCAGGGUAGUCAAAUAACUUGUCCACAAUUGCACAGCAAGGAAAUGGCAGAGUUAGGAUUUGAAUCCAGGUCUGGCAUCAAGGCCUUAACUGAUACUUUCCCUGGCCCCUCCUUUAGGAGGCGUGGUCCUCUGGGUUUGGGGGUUUCUAGACCCUUCUGCCUUUCCUCUUGCUUUACAUCUUCGUUUGCUUGACUUCAAUCUAACACUUGUCAGUCUCUUUCUCUCUCCUUCUCUCCCCUCUCCUUCCUUCCUUCCAGCCUCUCUCUUCCCUUCUCUCUUAAUCUUGACAUGCUUCAAAAGGGACAGUGCUUUUCACCCUGGAGACCCAGCUUAAAAUGCAGGCGUCCCAGGGCAGAGAAAUGGCCUAAAAGACCUAAGUAAGUGGUGGCAUCUGGUCCUUCUGGGGGAGCAGAAUUUGAGGACACUCUGUGGGGCAGGAGAGGGAUGGGAAUGGAGGAGGUGGGGUGGCAAAGUGCCUCUCUCUGUUCUGCUCACAGCCCUCCGGGCUUGACCCAGUCAUUGUUCAUCCAGUCCCAGGCCCUCCCUGGAGCAUCCAUUGUGUGGUCAGUGCUGCGCAGGACUCUGGGCACACUGGGGUGACUCAGCCCUGCUCUGGGCUGUCACAUUCAGAAGAGGGAGAAGGACAGGUGCACAGGAAGCCUGCUGUCCUGAGGAUGUGCAUGUGGGGUUGGAAGGGCAGGCAGGGCCCGUAGGAGGAAAGAGCCCUUCCUGGCGGCCCGGCGCUGUUGGCACUAGGUCACAUUGACCCUUUUGGCCCUGCUCUGCAUCUCCUUUCUGUUCUCUGUUUGGCUAGCUGUGAAGGCCAGCUGACCUUCCCUUUGAGCUAAGCGAAUCUUUAAACAUGAAUUAAGUAAAAUCCCGAUGCUCCUUGCUUCCUGGUGAGAAACUGCCCCAUCGCAAACCAGAUCCGACGGGCCAGGCAGUCUGUGUCUGAGACGUUCAGUUUAAGACACACCGAACCCUCCUAUUGUUUUCUCUUCAUAGAAAAUUAGUAUCAAAGUGAGUAUUUCACUGAGGGCCUGGCUCUGCGUGUCAGUGGAUGCUUUGGAGGAGAGGUGGAGUCACUUCUUGGUGCUUUUAAAGUGACUAGUGGAGGUCCUGUCAUGGCGCAGUGGUUAACGAACCCAACUAGGAACCAUGAGGUUGUGGGUCCGAGCCCUGGCCUCACUCAGUGGGUUAAGGAUCUGGCAUUACCAUGAGCUGUGGUGUAGGUCGCAGAUGUGUCUCGGAUCCCCUGUUGUUGGAUCCCUCUGGUGUAGGACCGCGGCUACAGCUCCGAUUAGACCCCUAGCCUGG
rnacentral:lncRNA from 1 species